GGGAACCUCACCGGCCCGGACACCGCGAGGAUUGACAGACUGAGAGCUCUUUCUCGAUUCGGUGGGUGGUGGUGCAUGGCCGUUCUUAGUUGGUGGAGCGAUCUGUCUGGUUAAUUCCGAUAACGAACGAGACCCCAACCUGCUAACUAGCCCUCGGGUCCUGCUUCUGUUGGGCCCGACGGAAUGAUUCGCUUCUUAGAGGGACUCGCGGCGCCUAGCCGCACGAAGGGGGGCGAUAA
rnacentral:rRNA from 1 species